rnacentral:misc_RNA from 1 species
GAUGAAGAACGUAGCGAAAUGCGAUAAUUAAUGUGAAUUGCAGAAUUUAGUGAAUCAUCGAAUCUUUGAACGCACAUUGCGCCCCUUGGUAUUCCGGGGGGCAUGCCUGUUCGAGCGUCAUUUCAACCCUCAAGCUCUGCUUGGUCUUGGGCCGCGCCGGCAACUGCGGGCCUCAAAAACAGUGGCGGCGCCAUCUGGUCCCUCAGCGUAGUAAUUCUUCUCGCUUCUGGGCCCCGGUGGCCGCUUGCCAGCAACCCCAAACUUUCUAUGGUUGACCUCGGAUCAGGUAGGGAUACCCGCUGAACUUAAGCAUAUCAAUAAGCGGAGGA